GACGAACGCUGGCGGCGCGCUUAACACAUGCAAGUCGAACGGAAAGGCCUGCUUUCCCUUGUGGAUUGCGGGUACUCGAGUGGCGAACGGGUGAGUAACACGUGAGUGAUCUGCCCCCAACUUGGGUAUAAGCCUGGGAAACUGGGUCUAAUUCCCGAUAGGACUGCAGGGUGGUGCCUGUGGUGGAAAACGAUUUUCUAGUGGUUGGGGAUGAGCUCGCGGCCUAUCAGCUUGUUGGUAGGGUAAUGGCCUACCAAGGCGGCGACGGGUAGCCGGCCUGAGAGGGUGGACGGCCACAUUGGGACUGAGAUACGGCCCAGACUCCUACGGGAGGCAGCAGUGGGGAAUAUUGCACAAUGGGCGGAAGCCUGAUGCAGCGACGCCGCGUGGGGGAUGACGGCCUUCGGGUUGUAAACUCCUUUCGACCGCGAGGAAGCCACCUGGUUGGAAGGGUGGUGACGGUAGUGGUAGAAGAAGCACCGGCUAACUACGUG
rnacentral:rRNA from 1 species